UUGACGUCAGCGGCUAGCGUGAGUCACGCGCGCAGGGAGAGCGCGAGGCGGCCUCUACCCAACCCUCCUCUUCUCCUUCUCCCCCCCUCCCCCUCAUCCUCUGGCCGGGCCUAGACCGGUUCCAACCUGAUGGGGCCAGUCCCAACCGCCUCCAACUGCCACCAACCGCCAGCCGGGCCAGAGGGCGGGAAAGUUGGGUGCAGUCCCCGCGGGGUUGGCCGAGUGCGGGAUGCGGUGACACACAUAUAACUUGAACUUGGCCUGGCCAUCGAAGCCUAAUCGGCCUCAAGCCCUGCAUCCGCCCUCCCCCAAUCCUGGGUCUCGAUUUAUGUGCAAAACGACACCCAGAGCUAUGUUAGAUACUAAAGAAGGCUUCCCCACAAUCCAUAUGCAUCUGCUUUGACUGAUGGUUUCUAUCAACCUUCAAAAGACUGUGACUUAUUGGUGAGGGCAGCUGGACAACUCUCAGAACAACUUAGAGAAAUCCACCAUGGGCACACUCUAUAAAGGAGCUCCUUCUCUGGAAAGUAGCGCCCCAGAUAAGUGCACAAAAGCAAGACACCCUCGUGGACCUACUUCCUCCCGCUUUCAACACCCUGAUGCCUGAAGUUUAUAGAGUUUGACAGCAGUGUCAAGAGCUGAUGAGGAGGAGAAGAUGGAAAGGAGUCUAGCAUCUUAAAAAUCUCAUAGCAUUCUCUGUAAUGUGACCCUUUUCCAGUUGGUGUCUCGAUUUAUUUAAGAGAUAAAGAAGAUACUGAGGCCUGUGAGACCUGUCAUCAAGUCAGAUCUGAGCUCACUGAAAUGUUUUCCUUCCUUCUUUGCUUCCCUUCCCUUGUUCUUCAUCUUAGUUUGGAUUACUUUAUAAAAACAAAAACCAGUUAUUUUCAUUAGUAGCUUAAAUGACUCAUAUGAUCAGCAUAAAUUGUUAAAAAAUGAUUCUUAAAGAGUGGAAGCCAAGGGGGGUGGGGAAGGAUCAUGUUUAUAUCUUGCUAUUGGCUUAUAUCAGCAGGCUUAAGGAGAGAUGGUUAGAUAGGAUGAGUUUGAUAGACUCCUUUGGUAUAAUUUAAUGAUUUGAGGGUUUUGUAAAGCUUUUUCUAAAUCUGGCUAAAAAUACAUUUACUUUUAUUACCACCAGGUGCUAACAAGUGCCAGGUGUGGUAUCUGUUACUUAACAACUUUCAGUAUUUCAGGAUUGGUGUGAACCAGGUACACAGAGAUGAUGUAAACAAGACUAAAUAUUUAUAUGUUUAGACAAAAGUAAAUUACGUAUUUGUAAGCUAAUAAUGCUUAGUAAUUAGCAUGUGAAUUGAAUAUUAAAUGCUCAGUCAAGCAUAUUAUGCAAAAUAAUACUUAAAAUGUUUCUAAUCUCAUCCACAAGAAAAGAUCUUUUAGUGUACAGGGAUACUUAAUUCUAGCCUGUCCUAAUCAGAACUCCAGAGAGCCUCCAGAAUGGCACUGAUGCUCACCAACCACUCUUUGCUUUUCAGUUUGUAAUUGAGAGUUUAUUAACGUAAGUAGGGUAAUCUUUUUCUUUUUCAUCUAUAAUCAGGCUCUAACCCAGAACUGUCCAAUCUCUAAUUUUGUUGUAAUUACCUUUAUACCUUUCUCCCUUGAAACUUGUCUUCUGAGCAACCUCAGAGUAUUAUUGUUAUUGGAAUGUCACACCAAAACAAUUCCUUAGGCUAAUGUUCCCCAUUAAGUGAAUUCCUUAGAAGUAUAGUCCCUCAAAAACUGUCAUAUUCAAGUUGGAGCUAUUUCCUUUGUUUAUGUGCACACUUAUAUUAACUGGCCUUGUAAUUCCCUUUCUCCCCAUAGUGUCGAUCAGAUUUGCUAACUAUAUUUGAGAAGAUGGAAACAGAUUUUAAGUUACUGGGACAAAUAUAUCUUUUCCUUUAACAAAAGCAUAUUAAAUUUAUGUAACAAAGUAUCUAACAUAAUGAAAUAUACACAAAAUUGGAAUUUUGUCAUGUCUCACAUGGGCUGAAAUAGUUCUGGCAAACCAGUUUUUCCUUAGAGAUUUCAGAAAAAGAAAACAGCUCAUCAGUUUGAAUCAAGUUGCUAAUGAUUUGUAAGUUUGAGGUGAAUAGAUAAACAAUUUUCAUACUCUUGAUAUGUUCUCCAUUGUCACAGAUGUUGUAAAAUCCUACUGUCAAUAAGGUACUACAAUAAAAAGUGGAUUUAGCUUUAGGAACUGCCAAUUGGUGUGUGCAUUUCACUACUCCUCUAGUCUUAGGGUCAGAGCAGCCCAUGGGUGUCAUUUGGCUAUGCUAAUAUUAAGUUUAUGAAGUACCCAAGAAAGGAGAAGGACCACCUGCCUAUGUCUCCCUCUCUGGGUCAGUUUGCUUACUUAGGGUGGCAGAACAGCUAUUCUUUGAAUUCCCAGAGCAGUUUUUAUGCUUCUAAGAAAGCUCUCUCUGGUCCAAAACACAUGCUAUAUUCCAUCUUCAAAUCUCAUGCUCAAAGAAUGCUCUUAAGAUCAUCUAUGCCAAUAAAUUCACUAGAUACACACUAGACCAAAUAACCCUGAGUCCAUCUUGGCUCCUGAUCAAGCAAGCUGACCUCUGGGCUCUAUCUAGUCUGGGCUCUGCCACUAAUUAGCUAUGCAUCUUGAAACAAGCCAUUUCACCUCUUGGGGUUUAAGAGUCAGACUAUAUGAUAUCUAAGGUCCUUUCCAGUUCUAAUGUUAUAUUUAUUGUCCUAAGUCUCUACAGCCUAUUAUAAGGCAUCAAAUUAGAAUGGUUUACCUAAAUAAUAUGUCUCCCUUCUUGGCUCAGAGAUCCUUUCACUGGAAUACUUAUUUGCCACUGUUUAGCAUUCUAAAUUGAAUUAGUGAGUUAAGAAUUGGUUCUUGGCUCAUUUUAGUGGAUCAUAAAUUAUUUUCUCUAUAUGUACACACAUAUAUAUGUGAACUUAUAAAGUAUAUACAUGGAUUGUGAAUCUAGUACUGAUAGCUAGAGAAAAUUAGGGGAAUGUUCUUUCUUAGUUACUCAAAAGUGAGGAAUAAUUUCCAGCAUCUUUGUUCCCAGCCACCAUCUUCUUUCUUUUUAUUGGUUCUUUAAAAAUAAUUAAUUAGUUACAUUAAAGUUCCCAGGUAUUUCCCUUCCUCCUAUGCCUUCCUACUCUAAAGAAGGCAUCAUUUGACAAAAAGUAACAAAAAUCCUAUUAUUAUAUCAGUAGAUUCAACAAUAUUUUGAGACAAAAGGCUAUUUAGCCAUAAUGCAAAGACAGUAAGAAUAGUGAAUUCUGAUUUUGAGUUCAUGUGUUGUGUUUUUUUUUCCCCAGGGUAUUUUCAGAAGUAAACAUUUCAGAGUUAUUGGAUAUUAAGGGGUCCAUGAGAAUACUUUGGUUUCCUAAGUUAUUUUCAGGAGGGGAUUUCGAUGUAGAAAGAAGGAUCAUUGAAUAAAAUGAAUAUUCAAUAAUAAACAUUCUGGGCUAUGAAUAAUGCCAAUAUACUAUCUUCUAUUAAUAAUAGUUAUCUACUUGCUUUCUUUCCUUUGUUACUAAUUACAGGAUCAUGUCAUCACAAAUUCAAUAAAGAAUAUUUGCAAAUA